CGUUUUGGUUCUUUAAUUCCUCCCCCCCCCCAAAAAAAAUCAAGACUAAACUCUUCUUCCAACCAAAAAAAAAGAAGAACAAAACGAAAAAUCGCUCUCUACCGACGUUUCACGCUGUGAUUCGAAUCACACCAAACUCUCAAUAGCUUCGUCGAUCAUGUUAUCGACUUUCAGCUGGUCAGAGAUCAGAAUUUGCACCCAGUUUUUCUAAUAGGAUGGGUUGAUUGAUUCCGCUGCUCUACUGCAUUUUAUCAUAAAUCAAGAAGGGAAUUUUAUGUGCUGCAGCGGAGGGGAAUGCUUCUGUUGAGAAAGUGGGUGUGUAAAUCAUCCAUUGAUUAUGCUAAGAAUACAACGGAGAAAUGGAAGCACUAGAUUGUUCAAUGACCAUGUUCAAGUGCACGUGCUGACAUAGGACUGUAUCAAGGAGGUUUCAGAAUGGAGAGCACGAUGAUGAUUGCAAUGAUGAGAAGGAUGAUGAUGGAGAUGAUCAUGCACUUUCUUGAUUUCUUCUGCAAGCUUUUAGCAUGAUGGAGAGCAUCUGUUCCCAUGUUCACGUGGUCUACUGCACUCAUCACCUAUAAACACCCACCACAUAGAUUUCAAAAUCCAAGUGUAACGAUUUAACAUGGUAUGCAGGAGACCCAAUUAGAUUUCUUGUUUAUGCAUGUUGCAAUUAGUUGCUGGCAUGGUUGAUUAGGAGUUCAUAUGUGUAUGUGUGUGUACAUAACCUAACUUGACUCCUACCUAUAUGAGUGUGAAAUGUGAACCUGAGAUUUGUUCUCUUAUGUACACAUUGUAUAUAUCUUUUUAGAGCUUGUUUUA